rnacentral:rRNA from 1 species
UACGUAGGCAGCAAGCGUUGUUCGGAGUUACUGGGCGUAAAGGGUGUGUAGGCGGUUGUUUAAGUUUGGUGUGAAAUCUCCCGGCUCAACUGGGAGCUUGCAGGCGAAACUGCCGUGCUGGAGUAUGGGAGAGGUGCGUGGAAUUCCCGGUGUAGCGGUGAAAUGCGUAGAUAUCAGGAGGAACACCCAUGGCGAAGGCAGCAAACUGGUCCGUAUCUGACGCUGAGGCGCGAAAGCUAGGGGAGCAAACAGG